GAUGAACGCUGACAGAAUGCUUAACACAUGCAAGUCAACUUGAACUUCGGUUUGGGUGGCGGACGGGUGAGUAACGCGUAAAGAACUUGCCUCACAGAUAGGGACAACAUUUGGAAACGAAUGCUAAUACCUGAUAUUAUGAUUUUAGGGCAUCCUAGGAUUAUGAAAGCUAUAUGCGCUGUGAGAGAGCUUUGCGUCCCAUUAGCUAGUUGGAGAGGUAACGGCUCACCAAGGCGAUGAUGGGUAGCCGGCCUGAGAGGGUGAUCGGCCACAAGGGGACUGAGACACGGCCCUUACUCCUACGGGAGGCAACAGUGGGGAAUAUUGGACAAUGGACCAAGAGUCUGAUCCAGCAAUUCUAUGUGCACGAUGAAGUUUUUCGGAAUGUAAAGUGCUUUCAGUUGGGAAGAAAAAAAUGACGGUACCAACAGAAGAAGUGACGGCUAAAUACGUG
rnacentral:rRNA from 1 species